rnacentral:tRNA from 1 species
GUCAGAAUGGCUGAGUAGUGUAAGGCACCAGACUCAAGGUGCGCACCUUGCCUGCAGGCAUUCCGGUCUCUGAAUGGAGGCAUGGGCUCUAAUCCCACUUCUAACA